rnacentral:rRNA from 1 species
UACGGAGGGUGCGAGCGUUGUCCGGAAUCAUUGGGCGUAAAGGGCGCGUAGGUGGCCCGGUCAGUUCGUGGUGAAAGCGCGGGGCUCAACCCUGCGUCGGCCAUGAAUACUGCCGCGGCUGGAGCACUGUAGAGGCAGGCGGAAUUCCGGGUGUAGCGGUGGAAUGCGUAGAGAUCCGGAAGAACACCGGUGGCGAAGGCGGCCUGCUGGGCAGUUGCUGACACUGAGGCGCGGACAGCGUGGGGAGCAAACGGG